AUUGAACGCUGGCGGCAGGCUUAACACAUGCAAGUCGAGCGGGGUGAUGGUGCUUGCACUAUCACUUAGCGGCGGACGGGUGAGUAAUGCUUAGGAAUCUGCCUAUUAGUGGGGGACAACAUCUCGAAAGGGAUGCUAAUACCGCAUACGUCCUACGGGAGAAAGCAGGGGAUCACUUGUGACCUUGCGCUAAUAGAUGAGCCUAAGUGGGAUUAGCUAGUUGGUGGGGUAAAGGCCUACCAAGGCGACGAUCUGUAGCGGGUCUGAGAGGAUGAUCCGCCACACUGGGACUGGGAAACGGCGCGGACGCCUACGGGAGGCAGCAGUGGGGAAUAUUUGACAAUGGGGGGAACCCUGAUCCAGCCAUGCCGCGUGUGUGAAGAAGGCCUUAUGGUUGUAAAACACUUUAAGCGAGGAGGAGGCUCUUUUGGUUAAUACCCAAGAUGAGUGGACGUUACUCGCAGAAUAAGCACCGGCUAACUCUGUGCCAGCCGCCGCAGUAA
rnacentral:rRNA from 1 species